UUUAUUUUCAAGAAAUUGAAACUUUCAUAUCCUGUCCAGAACAAAAGAUCAGAAUUCAUCCAUUUCAUCUUUGCAGUGAAUUGAACUAUCCCUCACAGACAGAGGCUACAGCUUGGCCUUCCCAGUUUCUCAGGCAUAGAAGUUUCCAUGGUAACCUCCUGAGUGGAGGUAAAACCAUAGUGGAAAUCAGCGUUCAGCCAAGGAGCUGCCAGUGUCCAGGAAAACUGCUCAGGACCAGGUUACAAAACAUUCUGGCAUGACCUCGUGUAGCACCUCAAGUAUGCUGUGAUAAGACACUGGCUGUGAGUGUCCUGAGGCUGCCCUGCCCUGCCUACACCAUCAGCCCUGGAGGAUUUGCUGCUGUGGCAGUGAGGGGAGCAGAAAUAGGGAGAUGAGACCCUCAGCUGGCACUACCACCCCUGCUGAACUGCAGCUUGUCAGCCCAAGACUGGCUUCACUUCAGAGGUAAACACAGGUUCAGAAGUUGUGAUAUAUUAUCUUGCAGCAGUCUGCAACAGGAAUCUAAGCC